rnacentral:rRNA from 1 species
UGACAGGUGCUGCAUGGCUGUCGUCAGCUCGUGUUGUGAAAUGUUGGGUUAAGUCCCGUAACGAGCGCAACCCUUGUCCUUAUUUGCCAGCACGUAAUGGUGGGAACUCUAAGGAGACUGCCGGUGACAAACCGGAGGAAGGUGGGGACGACGUCAAGUCAUCAUGGCCCUUACGAGUUGGGCUACACACGUGCUACAAUG